rnacentral:rRNA from 1 species
ACUCCUACGGGAGGCAGCAGUGGGGAAUAUUGCACAAUGGGGGAAACCCUGAUGCAGCCAUGCCGCGUGUGUGAAGAAGGCCUUCGGGUUGUAAAGCACUUUCAGCGAGGAGGAAAGGGUGUAAGUUAAUACCUUACAUCUGUGACGUUACUCGCAGAAGAAGCACCGGCUAACUCCGUGCCAGCAGCCGCGGUAAGUACGGAGGGUGCGAGCGUUAAUCGGAAUUACUGGGCGUAAAGCGUGCGCAGGCGGUUUGUUAAGCGAGAUGUGAAACGCCCCGGGCUCAACCGUGGAACCGCAUUUCGAACUGGCAAACUAGAGUCUUGUAGAGGGGUAGAAUUCCAGGUGUAGCGGUGAAAUGCGUAGAGAUCUGGAGGAAUACCGGUGGCGAAGGCGGCCCCUGGACAAAGACUGACGCUCAGGCACGAAAGCGUGGGAGCAAACAGGAUUAGAUACCCUGGUAGACUGUCA